GGGAAAGGGGCACUCACUGACUGACAGGGAGUUGGACGUGGUGUGGACACAGCGCUUGGUGCCAAAGGAGUCCUAAACUUUCUAGCUGCCACAGGUCCUGGAAGGAUGUGGACUGUCUCCGAGUUCUCCUUUUCACAAUGUUCAUGGCUGACUGACACAAUCUACUCAACCUGCAGUAUUCAUUUAUAGCAAUACAAAAGGACCAAGACAGAGAGGAACACAUUAAACCAUGCCAUGGAAAUGAAGAUGGCUUCAGUUUCAGGGUGAACAACCCAGUCACUUUAACAGGAAAAUUCUGAGAGAAAAAGAAACAGAGCUAAAAGGAAUAUACACAGGAGGCUUUCGGCUGCAAGCUGUUUUGGAGGCGCUACGUGAGCGGCAGUCACCUGGGAAGGGAGAGUGUUUUCAUGUUCAAAUGCAAACACCUGAGCUUAUCAGCAGCUCGACUCAAAGAAAAACCUUCUGGGCCUGGUACCCAGGGAUAAUAUGCACCUUCAACAGGCUUCCCUGGUGAGUCCUACCUUCACUAAAACCCAAAAAACACUGAUUAAAAUUGAGUGAUUACCUCCUAAAAGUAAA